GACGAACGCUGGCGGCGUGCUUAACACAUGCAAGUCGAACGGGCCCGCUCUCUUUUUUGGGGGUGGGUUGAGUGGCGAACGGGUGAGUAUCACGUGAGUAACCUGCCCCCUGCUCCUGGAUAACUGCUUGAAAGGGCGGCUAAUACGGGGUGUGCCGGCUGGUCCGCAUGGGCCUGGUCGGGAUAGUUUCAUCUUCGGGUGUUUCGGUGGGGGAUGGGCUCGCGGCCUAUCAGCUGGUUGGUGGGGGGAUGGCCCACCAAGGCGGUGACGGGUAGCCGGCGUGAGAGGGUGGGCGGCCAGAGUGUGACUGAGACACGGCCCAGACUCCGGCGGGAGGCGGGGGGGGGGGGUAUUGCACGAUGGGCGGAAGCCUGAGGCAGCGACGUCGCGUGAGGGAUGGAGGCCUUCGGGUUGUGAACCUCUUUCUCCGGUGGUGAAGGCCCUGUCCGGUGCGGCGGGGUUGACGGUAGCCGGGUAUGAAGCGCCGGCUAACUACGUG
rnacentral:rRNA from 1 species